UGCUUGUGCUUAUAAAUAUAGUGUUGAACUGUGAUAUUUCUUAUGAGUAACAUGUCUCGACAAUGUUUUAAACAUUGAAUUUACUGUGGUUAACAUGGAGUGGAAUCCGUUAUGGGUACCCAUUAUGGCAUUGGCAUACAUGCGAGUAGGGAAGGUCGAUGUAUCGCUGUGGGAUAAUCCUCUUUUGGUUGUGCUGUCUAUGGGGUGUCUGUACCUAAUAUGGCGGCUUUAUUAUUUAACGGCUUUGCUAAUGGGAGCUUCCUUCCCUUGUAUAGGGACAUAUGUCUUAUAGUAUUGCCGAAAGAUGGCAGGAGGGAGAGUAGAGCGAGUGAUGGUUGCGGCUGUAGUUAAAUACAUUAUUAGAUAUUGUGCUAAUUAGUCACUGAAAAUUUUUAUUUUAUUAGAUUAUGCUUACGGAUACCUAAAAUAUUGUGAUUAUCCUGCUGGUACUAUAACGCGGAUAUCUUCGAUCAUAUUGCCCCGUAGUAAAACACAGUAUCUAUUAGCAGGUAUAGAGGUAGUAAAGCGGACAACGCUAACAAAACAGUCUGGUUCUUUAUUCAGGUUAGGUAUAUUUGGAUAAGGACAAUUUUUGUUUGAUUCAUCGUUUGGGAUAUUUGGCACAAAUCGAAAUUGUCCGAAGCCGAAGUGCUUAUUCAUUUUUGUAUGUAUGAUGGAAAUUUAGAUCGAUUUCAAGACCCGAGGUAAUAUUAACUUUGUUGGUCUCCAAAAAAUUUUUUAUUCAUAUAAAAAUUGAAUGCUGCUUUGACUUAUAACGAAUUUUCUAAAUAUUUUACAAAAAUUUCACUUAAGAUAUUUAAUGAUGUGGCUGUCUUACUGUAAAUGAAACUCUUGCGGAGGCUCCCCAAUGAAAAAGUUAAUUUUUGAAAGAAACGGUGUGCAAGUGGCGCCGACCUACGACUCAAGAUGUUUACUCAGGAGUUUCAAGCUGGUCGGAGACAGAGGGAUGAAAUUCGAGGUACCGUUACCGGUGUGGUUCGACCGCAAGGAACCAGGACUCACUGGUACUCCCGCAGGAGCCAAGGAACCUGGCUGUGAUCACAGCCCAGGGGCCCGUGGGAUGACGGGACGCAUCUGCGAUGGCGCCACGGCGAUUUGUUUAUUUUACUUUUGGGAACUUUGACUAACCAUCCCUCGCUAGUCAAACUCUGGGGUUAAUGAGGUCGUUAACGAAGGCUUAACUAAUUCCGCUCUACCACCUAGGUAGGUAGCUAAUAUGUGAGCCUUUAAGUCUGAACUCAAUAACACUGCGUUAUCAAACAUAAAUAUCCAUGAUGGUUUGACGUGGCUGAUCUGGCGGUCUUGAGUGAAUUCGUUAACGAUCGAGUGAAUUAGACUAAAUUAUAUAAAGAAUUUAACAAAAAUUAUAGUGUUCACUCGUCAAUUAAUUAUUUUAUAUUAAAAUUUGUUAAUCCUAAAUCAAAGUCCCUGGCAAAAUUAAACAUGGUGCAGGUAUUUAAUUAUUCAUAUCUGACUUUAUAUGUUAUUUAUAUUUUUCAGCACAGUAUGUAUUAUGUCUGAUUUAUUCCAAUUAUACAUAGCAGGUUGGCCAACGUUUUCACGGUACUCCGACUUUAUUAUGAUUUUAAUCCCGGUUUGCAAAUUCGCACAGCGGACCACAAUUUCGCGGAUGAAUCGGCGAGUGCAUCGGGUGUCGUUCGACCGUAAUAUCGUGUCCAUUUUACUGAAUACAUAGAAAAUUUUUAUAUUCCUCUACAGCCAUUUUACAACCAAGUACCCAUUUCACAAAUUGUACGCAUGACAUAUCACGCUUCAAACCUUGACAUACGUACUUCUUGUAGAAAAAUAUUAAAUCGAGGGUUUAUUUUGGUACACCGUAUUCCCAUACUGUUUCCUACUCUUAAUAAGUAACAUUCCAGUCAUACCUAUAGUCGUUGAAGAAAAAGAUUGAAAAAAAAAAAGAAAAAGUAUGUUCGCAAGUAAAUGCACUCCCAGAGAAGACAGGGGCUAUUCUUGUUGUCUUUAGGGGUGGCGCUCGUCAAUCCGAGAGACGUCAAGACGAAACGUGGUGGCGCCAGGAAUGAAGUAUAGAAACGCAGCCAGCGCAGGAAGUGCCGGGAACUCGAUAUCGCCGGCAGCAAAUACGUCUUCCAAGCUGUUUGUUGUUACAUCUUAGUCUGGCGAACGGGUGGCCUUUUAAAAGCGACAACUUUUCAACAAAUUCUCCAGCUCUUAAACGAUUUUCCAAGGACAACUAUAGGAUUCGCAAAUCAUUUUAAACAUCUGUGCAGAAUACCAAAUGGGAAUAGGAAGUAUUUGAUAAAACAGUGGAGACUGGACGCCAUGAUGAUGGGACGGAGGAAAGGAAAGUUUUGGACAUAUUUCAAGUUUACGAUACCACUCGACUCAGGGCAGUCAAUAAAGUUAUCGAUCCAAAGUGGUCCCCCGUUUGUCGAUCCCGUGUAAACUUGCACCAGGUCGUCUCAUGGAGACGCUACGUAUAGAUGAACGGUGCAGGCAGGUUGGCGAAUUGUCGUCAGUCGUACAAGCGACAGGUUCUCUUGCCUUUACUACAGUAGUAGGUGUAGACUUCAUAGAAACCAUAGAGUACAGAGCGAAGAGUACGUACUGUACCUACUGUACCCAGCACCUUCAAAGUCCAGGUCUAUAAGGGCUGCACCGACAAUAAACUAUGCAAAUGCGAAAUGCACUGGACAAGUACACAGGGAGGUCACAUCUGGAAGUAAUUACGAAGGGGAUGGAUGGAUGGUCCUUGGCUCAGGUGCAAAACUUUUAAGGAGGGUAUCCUCGCGAACGUGAGGAUUCCCCAGGAACCGGGAUUACCGUUGGUAUGCUCUUUAGGUAUUGCUUGCGAAAGAAGUCGCGAUACGAUCUUCUGUUGUGUCGCCAUAACCUGCUACGUUCAUGUUUCUGCUCCGAUCCCAUGAAAUAUUUUGUUUUACACGGAUGAACAUAGAUUUUCGCUCUUUUUCAAUUUUCAUGUAUCGAGUUAGUACAGAAAUUAAUCAAGCAUAUAUCUGUGCUAAAUUAUCAGAACUGUCUCAUAUUUUUUUUGUCGUGAUAAAUCUAGCAAUCUGUAAUUAUUUUCUUUUACCUGUAAAUAUAUCAGUAAUUAAUUAUUUAACCUGGCGUAGAACGUCACGCGAGCAUUACCCGCUUUCGAUUAAAAGACCGAUUGUAAUUAUCGCGUUUCACACGUACACGAAUGAAAAAUUAAUAAGUCUUGUACAGCGUAUCACUGUCUUUUAUUUAAUAGUAAUAUCUAAAGUUACCUCACAUACGUGUCAGAAUUAGCAUAUCUAACCUCAAAAUUUGUAUAUCUAGCCUCAAGCGUUGAAUAAUUUUGAUGUCACUAUGUAAAUGCUACGAAUCUUAGAAUACAUAAGUACUGUACUAUAAGGUAUCAUGUAUUGCACGGAGUGAGAUGGAAACCGAGAAAAUUAUUUUCGUGUAAUCUGCCGAUUUCGGAUAAUAUUAGUAAUACACAGUAUCCCCGAGGAACGUGCCUUCUCUCGAAUUGCGGGGACUUGGGGUACCAGCUCGGGUACGAUCCAAGAAAUGGAAGUAGGUAUUUAAGAAGCAUUCACCUAUUUGGCAUUGUAAGCCGGACACUUUUCGACAACUGACACGAAAGAUCGCCGAGAGGAUCGGUAUUGAUCGUAAGCGGCUUGCUCGGUGGGUUUUACCUUUGUGCCCUGGGUACGGAGUAUUUGUGUCCCGCAGUUCACACCUUGGCAUAAUGCCGCGUCCGAAAAGCAGGACACAUUUGGCAACCAUUAUAUCCGACUACGGGGCUCCGACAACCCCCUUCGACUCGCUACUGUAUUAUAUCCCGAUCUAUGUAAAAUGGGGAAGCGUGUACACGCUCGUGCAUAUAUAUCUAUAUACACAUGUAUAUACGACAUUACGUAGUAGGAAUAAUGUAUCCCUCGUCCAUUUAAACGAGCCUUGCGCCAUGUUAUAGGUCGCCUAGAGGAUCAAAGUUGCCAUAUUUUUUUUAAGAACUCGUCACAAUCGACUAAUCAUUGAUAAGAAUUGAACGCGCGUUAGCCAGUAUACAAAUAUUGUUACCAAUUUAUCUUCGUUCGUUUUUUAAUCCUGUAUCCAUAAUUUUCUCGUUAUUUUAUUAAUCGUGCGUUCGCGACAUGAUCGCCUCUUUUUAUUGUGACUGCGAAUUUUUUUUAACGUCCAAUGUUAAUUAUUGUUUCUUGCUUUUUUUUUUAUUUCCUCCAUCAGUUUUCAUCGCCGCGAUAUACGUUCGGUACUCUUAUUGUUAGACAAAGGCGCAGUUGUCGAAAGCAUGACUACUGGGGAUAACAAAAAAAAAUAUAUCUUCUUUACGUAUUACAUGUAUACAGAGAGGAGUGCGUUUAUGUUUUGUAUAGGGUUCCAUAAGUUCAUCGCGGGCGCGCUGAUGCGUAUGUAAUCCCGUGAUGCUUACCGAUAGCAUCAUGGGUUUUAUUUUCAUUAUUCAUUUGUUCGACGUUCCCCAUGGACGGUCGCAGGCUUACACGCAUAACCCCAUGUUUCCUUGUCGGUUUAAUCAGAUAAAACCCACAGGCCAAAAUCGGUGUGCACAUACUAUAUAGGUACUGUACCUACUAUGACGUAUGGAUGUGUAUACAUAUGUACAAUAUAUAUAUAAUAUAAUGCAUAAAAAUCCUGUUCCCGUAUACAUAGAAAUCAACAAAUCCUAGAAAAAUGUGUACAGAGCAUUAUGGUGGUUCAUGGCCGCUAGUAUUACCACCGUAGUAAUUCAAAUGGAUAAAGACGUAAUGUUAAAUAAGAA